CCUCGGGUGACGAGUGGCGGACGGGUGAGUAAUGUCUGGGAAACUGCCUGAUGGAGGGGGAUAACUACUGGAAACGGUAGCUAAUACCGCAUAACGUCGCAAGACCAAAGAGGGGGACCUUCGGGCCUCUUGCCAUCAGAUGUGCCCAGAUGGGAUUAGCUAGUAGGUGGGGUAAUGGCUCACCUAGGCGACGAUCCCUAGCUGGUCUGAGAGGAUGACCAGCCACACUGGAACUGAGACACGGUCCAGACUCCUACGGGAGGCAGCAGUGGGGAAUAUUGCACAAUGGGCGCAAGCCUGAUGCAGCCAUGCCGCGUGUAUGAAGAAGGCCUUCGGGUUGUAAAGUACUUUCAGCGGGGAGGAAGGCAUUGUGGUUAAUAACCACAGUGAUUGACGUUACCCGCAGAAGAAGCACCGGCUAACUCCGUGCCAGCAGCCGCGGUAAUACGGAGGGUGCAAGCGUUAAUCGGAAUUACUGGGCGUAAAGCGCACGCAGGCGGUCUGUCAAGUCGGAUGUGAAAUCCCCGGGCUCAACCUGGGAACUGCAUUCGAAACUGACAGGCUAGAGUCUUGUAGAGGGGGGUAGAAUUCCAGGUGUAGCGGUGAAAUGCGUAGAGAUCUGGAGGAAUACCGGUGGCGAAGGCGGCCCCCUGGACAAAGACUGACGCUCAGGUGCGAAAGCGUGGGGAGCAAACA
rnacentral:rRNA from 1 species